UGACAUUUGAUGACCUCUGGAAACUUUUACUAAUAUCUGUAAAAUGAUAGUGGCACAAAAUAAUAUUUUUGCUCCACAAAGGUUUGACAACAAUUUUGUUUGAUUUGAUAAAGACCAGGUGGC